rnacentral:rRNA from 1 species
UGGGGAAUUUUGCGCAAUGGGGGAAACCCUGACGCAGCAACGCCGCGUGGAGGAUGAAGUACUUCGGUACGUAAACUCCUUUCGAUCGGGACGAUUAUGACGGUACCGAGAGAAGAAGCCCCGGCUAACUUCGUGCCAGCAGCCGCGGUAAUACGAGGGGGCAAGCGUUGUUCGGAAUUAUUGGGCGUAAAGGGUGCGUAGGCGGUUUGGUAAGUCUGAUGUGAAAUCUAUGGGCUCAACUCAUAGUCUGCAUCGGAAACUGCCGGGCUUGAGUAUGGGAGAGGUGAGUGGAAUUCCUGGUGUAGCGGUGAAAUGCGUAGAUAUCAGGAGGAACACCUGUGGCGAAAGCGGCUCACUGGACCAUAACUGACGCUGAUGCACGAAAGCUAGGGGAGCAAACAGGAUUAGAUACCCUGGUAGUCCUAGGCCCUAAACGAUGACUGCUUGGUGUGACGGGUACCCAAUCCCGCCGUGCCGUAGCUAACGCGUUAAGCAGUCCGCCUGGGGAGUACGGUCGCAAGGCUGAAACUCAAAUGAAUUGACGGGGUCAUAGCUGUUUCCU